GCCAGGAGUGGUGGCGCACGCCUGUAAUCCCAUUAGCUUAGGAGGCUGAGGCAGGAGGAUCACGAGUUCAAAGCCAGCCUCAGCAGAGGUUAGGUGCUAAGCAACUCAAUGAGACCCUGUCUCUA
rnacentral:sRNA from 1 species